rnacentral:snRNA from 14 species
GUGCUCACUUCAGUAGCACGUACACUAAAAUUGGAAGAGUGCAGAGAGGAUUGGCGCUGCCCCUGCACAGGGAUAUUGUGCAAAAAGAUUCUACUUGAUAUGUAAAU